UGGGGAAUCUUCCGCAAUGGACGAAAGUCUGACGGAGCAACGCCGCGUGAGUGAAGAAGGUUUUCGGAUCGUAAAACUCUGUCUUUUGGGGCGAACGUGAGUAUGGUGAACAAUCAUAGUCAGUGACGGUACCAAAGGAGGAAGCCACGGCUAACUACGUGCCAGCAGCCGCGGUAAUACGUAGGUGGCAAGCGUUGUCCGGAAUUAUUGGGCGUAAAGAGCGCGUAGGCGGGAUAGUCAGUCUGUUGUAAAGUGCGGGGCUCAACCCCGUGAUGGCAAUGGAAACAGCUAUUCUUGAGUGCAGGAGAGGAAAGUGGAAUUCCCAGUGUAGCGGUGAAAUGCGUAGAUAUUGGGAGGAACACCAGUGGCGAAGGCGACUUUCUGGACUGUGUCUGACGCUGAGGCGCGAAAGCCAGGGGAGCGAACGGGAUUAGAUACCCCGGUAGUCCUGGCCGUAAACGAUGGGUACUAGGUGUGGGAGGUAUCGACCCCCUUUCCGUGCCGGAGUUAACGCAAUAAGUACCCCGCCUGGGGAGUACGGUCGCAAGACUGAAACUCAAAGGAAUUGAC
rnacentral:rRNA from 1 species